CCUUUGGAAAGUAUUACGAUCCUUUCACUUUCUCCAAAUGUUUUGUGUUGUAGACUAAUAAUUAAUUUACAAUAAUGGCCAUUUUGUGGCCAUUAACACAAUACCCCAUAAUGAGAAAGCAAAAAACUAGAAAUGUGUGCCAUUUUAAUGAAAAUAAAAACUGAUAUAUCUAAUGCGUAAGUAUUCAGAACCAUUUCCUUAACACCCAGUUGCAUCCUGUGUACUUUAAUCAUCCUCAAGAUAUCUCCAGAACUUAAUAGGAGCCCACUUCGGGCAAAUUCAAUUGAUUGGACACAAUUUCGUAUGGCACACACCUACCUAUUGUCACGGGUGUACAGCAAUGACUCAACGGGUAGGCCAGGCCGAACCCAAGGGAGUUUUAUGUAACACACAAAUUUAAGUUAUAUUUAACACACAAAACUUGCGCAACCUGUGACAGCACAACUGUCAAAAUGGACCCAGCAGGAAAUCCUCCUCUCACUGAAGGUUUCUACCUUACCCUCAUUGGUAUGCUCAUGGACCGGGCUCACGAAUGGGCCACUACCAUCUGGGAGAAGGAGAUUCCCAAGCUGGACUUCUAUGACGGUUUCACCUCCCUCUUUCAAAUGUUUUUUACCAGCCACCUGAGGGCCGAGAGGGAGAUGAGCGUUUGCGGUCCCUCAAUCAAGGUAACCAGACCUGAAUACGCCCCUGAGGUUCCACACUCAAGCAGCAGCCAGCGGAUGGAAACAACCUGCACUCAUCACACACCACCAUCAUGGAUUAUGAGCAGAGCUUCAGAGACGAUGACCUUCCCAACCUCCUGCAGGCCCGCCUCAGUUGUUAGACGUCCCAGUAUUGUGACGCGUGUCACUACAACCGAUGGACAAGAUCUGAUGCAUUCUUUCUCGCUUGGCCAUUAUCAGCACCCCCUGAUAAAGACAUCUUCCCUUGGCCAUGAUUUGGUCAGUCUUCUUCCAGUGUCAAGCAGUCCAAAUACUUAUCAUACUAAUAUAAUGGAAACUGUCUCUGAGUCUAUUAUUACCUUUCUGUAUCCUUUCUGAUGAUAAAUGGAUUAAUAGCAUGGAAGAGAGCAGAUUUUGAGUCUGUGUAUCUGUUAGGCAUUCUAGUUAAGAAACAGCAGGUGAUGAGACUGAAACUGACCCCAAAGGACCCAAACAUGGACUUGAAUGAUCCAUCCGUGCAGGAGGCCAUCUUGCAGCAGGUGACUAUUUCCUCUUUGAGAAUGUCACAUCAGUAUAAACGUUAUCAACGGACCCCAUUUACCAAUAGACUGUCAACUAUUGUUAUACAAUACAGUAUACUUGUGUUUUAAACGUUUGUCAGCCUGUCUCAAACAAUUCUGGCUGAUUUAAUAAGUGGGAAGUAAACAAAAUUAUUUUGGUUUUUUUACGGAGCUGAGGGAGAAGAUGUCUGAUCCUUCCCUCACACUGAGAUGGACGGAACAGCCUGAUGGAAAGAUCUUCCACAAAGAAAAAAAUUAGUAGAAAAAUGAUUGCAUGUCUGUUAUGUAUGCUUAAAUAACUGCUACUGUAUUGUUUACCUUUAUUUAACCAGGUAAACAUUUUGAGAACCUUUUUCAUUUACAAUGACAACCUGGCCAAAGGAAUGUUAUUGGCAAGACCAAACUACAUUACUUAAGUGCUAUCUCAACAUAAUGUGCAAACUAAUAGGCAAGAUAUCAACAUUACACCAAAUGAGGGUGAUACCAUAUGAGUGCUCUCCUUUAUUAUCGAUACCCUUGGUAAAGUUGAGCAAAAAUGUAUGAACAAAAGCCAUUCUUUUUCCACAUCCUCAGUUAAAAAUAUUUAAUCAAAC
ensembl:lncRNA